rnacentral:rRNA from 1 species
GACGAACGCUGGCGGCGUGCUUAACACAUGCAAGUCGAACGGAAAGGCCCUGCUUUUGUGGGGUGCUCGAGUGGCGAACGGGUGAGUAACACGUGAGUAACCUGCCCUUGACUUUGGGAUAACUUCAGGAAACUGGGGCUAAUACCGGAUAGGAGCUCCUGCUGCAUGGUGGGGGUUGGAAAGUUUCGGCGGUUGGGGAUGGACUCGCGGCUUAUCAGCUUGUUGGUGGGGUAGUGGCUUACCAAGGCUUUGACGGGUAGCCGGCCUGAGAGGGUGACCGGCCACAUUGGGACUGAGAUACGGCCCAGACUCCUACGGGAGGCAGCAGUGGGGAAUAUUGCACAAUGGGCGGAAGCCUGAUGCAGCAACGCCGCGUGCGGGAAGACGGCCUUCGGGUUGUAAACCGCUUUCGCCUGUGACGAAGCGUGAGUGACGGUAAUGUGUAAAGAAGCACCGGCUAACUACGUG